rnacentral:rRNA from 1 species
UACGUAGGGCGCAAGCGUUAUCCGGAAUUAUUGGGCGUAAAGAGCUCGUAGGCGGUUUGUCGCGUCUGCCGUGAAAAGUCCGGGGCUCAACUCCGGAUCUGCGGUGGGUACGGGCAGACUAGAGUGAUGUAGGGGAGACUGGAAUUCCUGGUGUAGCGGUGAAAUGCGCAGAUAUCAGGAGGAACACCGAGUGGCGAAGGCAGGUCUCUGGGCAUUAACUG